rnacentral:ncRNA from 1 species
UCAUGAAGAGCGGCUGAGGGACUGGCCCUGUGAAGCCCGGCAACCUGCCACAAGGCAAGGUGCUAAAUCCUGCGGGAAACCGAGAGAUGA